CCGGUUGAUCCCGCCGGACCCGACCGCUAUCGGGGUAAGGCUAAGCCAUGGGAGUCGAACGCCCGCCGCCGCGGGCGUGGCGGACGGCUGAGUAACACGUGGCUAACCUACCCUCGGGAGGGGGAUAACACCGGGAAACUGGUGCUAAUCCCCCAUAGGAGCGGGCGCCUGGAAGGGUCCCGCUCCGAAAGGGGCCUGGGGGGAACGCCCCAGAUCCGCCCGAGGAUGGGGCUGCGCCCUAUCAGGUAGUUGGCGGGGUAAUGGCCCGCCAAGCCUAAGACGGGUAGGGGCCGUGGGAGCGGGAGCCCCCAGAUGGGCACUGAGACAAGGGCCCAGGCCCUACGGGGCGCACCAGGCGCGAAAACUCCGCAAUGCGGGCAACCGUGACGGGGUUACCCCGAAGUGCCCCCUUCGGGGGGCUUUUCCCCGCUGUAAACAGGCGGGGGUAAUAAGCGGGGGGCAAGUCUGGUGUCAGCCGCCGCGGUAAUACCGGCCCCGCGAGUGGUCGGGACGAUUAUUGGGCCUAAAGCGCCCGUAGCCGGCCUGGUAGGUCCCCUCCUAAAGCCCGGGGCUCAACCCCGGGCCUGGAGGGGAAACCACCAGGCUAGGGGGCGGGAGAGGCCGAGGGUACUCCCGGGGUAGGGGCGAAAUCCGAUAAUCCCGGGAGGACCGCCAGUGGCGAAGGCGCUCGGCUGGAACGCGCCCGACGGUGAGGGGCGAAAGCCGGGGGAGCGAACCGGAUUAGAUACCCGGGUAGUCCCGGCUGUAAACGAUGCGGGCUAGGUGUUGGGCGGGCCUCGAGCCCGCCCAGUGCCGCAGGGAAGCCGUUAAGCCCGCCGCCUGGGGAGUACGGCCGCAAGGUCUGAAACUUAAAGACUUGGCGGUGGAGCACCACAAGG
rnacentral:rRNA from 1 species